AAAAAGACAAACCCUGGUUUCCGUGCCCAACGUUUGACCGUUCGUCUUAUUUGAAAAAAUUAUGAAAAAAAUUAAAAAGACAAGUCACGCACAAAGUAUUAAUCAUGUUUUAUCAUCUAACAACAAUAAAAAUAUGAAUUAUAAAAAAAUUUCAUAUAAGACGGACAGUUAAAGUUAGACACGGAAACCCAGGGUUUGCCUUUUU
rfam:Oryza sativa Japonica Group DNA, chromosome 2, cultivar: Nipponbare, complete sequence.